rnacentral:rRNA from 1 species
CUACGGGAGGCUCCAGUCGAGAAUUUUCGGCAAUGGACGCAAGUCUGACCGAGCAACGCCGCGUGUGCGAUGAAGGCCUUCGGGUUGUAAAGCACUGUCGAGGGGGAGAAAAACUGAUCGACCCCUGGAGGAAGGACGGGCUAAGUUCGUGCCAGCAGCCGCGGUAAGACGAACCGUCCAAACGUUAUUCGGAAUCACUGGGCUUAAAGGGCGCGUAGGCGGGUGGUCAAGUCAGGGGUGAAAUCCUCCAGCUUAACUGGAGAAGUGCCUCUGAUACUGGCUGUCUUGAGUGAGGUAGGGGCAUGUGGAACUUCCGGUGGAGCGGUGAAAUGCGUAGAUAUCGGAAGGAACGCCAGUGGCGAAAGCGAUAUGCUGGACCUUUUUCUGACGCUGAGGCGCGAAAGCUAGGGGAUCAAACGGGAUUAGAUACCCUCGUAGUC